CCCGUCGGGGCUGACCCCCAUG
rnacentral:miRNA from 1 species